AUAUAAUCUCAAAAAGACCCGAUGUUAAUUACCGUGAAAGAUUGCCGGCAAUAGACUGCUAGAUACCGGGACCCAAACUGGAAAUUUGCCCAAUAGCUUGCACAAAGGUUAGGGUUUAUAAGGCCUGACAAAUAUGCUCACGAUUGAUACUACUACGAAGAAGAAGGUGAGGCUAUCAGGCUUUUUCCAGGCUCAGCUCCGGAAGCUAAAGUCCUCAAAAGGUAAGUCAAGCUCCAAAAAACCUACCACAAUCAAAUUUCGAAUACGAUUAGUACCCCGAUUGUUAAAAACCCCAGAAUUAUGCCUGAAAUUCAGUUAAGUAUGCGGAGUAUUUGCGACUUACCUGAAGAAUGCUAUCAGAAAUACUCAAACUACUUCCUGUAAAAUAUAUAUAUUGCGGUGCAGGUACGUCCAGAAGCUGUGGUAUUAUCUCGUGAAUUCCUUUCUCUGCAGUAGAAACUCUUAAUUUAUGUUAUUUAUCUCUGCUUAAUAUCUUCAAUUUUAAACUAACAUUGGGCCCUAAGUAAUCUGAUUGGUUUCCCUACUUUUUCUUGCUAAGCAACCGGGCCCCUUUUCUCCAGCAAUGUACAUAAUUUUCUGAGGGUUAUGAAUUCAUUCCCUUGUUGAGUUUGUCCAAAUGGACAUAUAGAGCCUCAAAGAAACUUUCGGUACAUUUGUUCGAAUGUCCACCCCUUUCAGAAAAGUGACUAGAUAGUGUAUAAGUGCGGCCACACUAGGCCCAUUGGGUCGGGGAUCAUAAUUUUUAGCUUAUCUAGCGAAUGAGCUUGGACGGCUGAGAUGAAAGCCUGAAACGACGAAUGCUGGCGCGAUUGAGCUUGGACGGCUGAGAUGAAAGCCUGAAACGAUGAAUGCUAGCGAUUGAGAUUGGACGGUUGAGAUGAAAGCCUGAAACGACGAAUGCUAGCGAUCAGAUUAAAUGUAAUCACAAUCCGAGUGAAGCCAAGAUACCCAUUCAGACUGUGCCACGUGCCCUUGUAUUACGAGUAUAUAUAUUUCGCAAGUAGAGAGCCCUCGAUCUAUACACGCUUCCCCGUCCACAGUUCUUCACUCUUUCUUCUCUGUAAAUAGCGCAUCUGCCCUGUUUCAGCCAAGGGUUGCCUACUCUAUUCUGAGUGAAUGAGCGUAUACAAACCAAGCAAUGAUCGCUUUUGUGACACAGAUCACCAACCAAUAUGCUAGGAACAUACUAGGACUGAACUUUGGAGGAAUACAGGCUUACUGACACUGAAGUCCACCUGGGUAUGUUUGGAAGGAAGGCUGCCAGUUUAAGCUCGUGUGAAGCUUAAAAGUAUUAUUCAUGCGGACUCUGACAUACGAGGAAAAUCAAUCCUCUGGUCGGGCCUUCCAGGAAUUGAAUCCUGCUAGAUCUGGCAAUCAAUGCAAAAAGUCAAAGGUUUAUAUUUCACUUCCACAACAUUGUUACUUCUGUGGUUCAGUGUUUUCGAGAAAGCAGGAAUUCUUCAUUCACCCACCACACCGCACCGUGUACUCGAUUCCUGGGAUUCUUAGAGUUCAAAUAUGUUUUGACUCCAGUAAAGGAACAUUGUCAAUAAGGCAGACUUCAUCUGUCAAAGAUAUUGAAACUUCUCGUGCUAAGAACAAAAAGAAAAUGAGAGAAAUAGCAAGUGCAUCUCAGAUGUCAGGGCGUAGCCGAACUUAUGAUAUUCUACAAACAGCUGACAUAUGCAACUCCCCUUGCAUCCACUGAGGUCAUCAGAGGAACAAAUGGCCACUUACGAAGGAAAAUAUAAAAGAACUGUGCAAAUUGUCAGUCUCCCAUGUCAGGUGUUGAGCUUGCUAAAGAUGCUAAACGACAGAAUCUGGAUGAUGGUUCUUUUUCCACUGUUUUGGAGUUCUAUAUUAAAUUUGCACCUGAGGACUCUGAGGAACCUCUUCCUACUGAUCCUGCUACGACUGCUUCCUGGAUAUGCCCAUUAUGAAACUGGUCAAGUGAUCCUUACUACAUGUCUCUCUCAACAAAGUAGGGCAUUUCACAUUAAAAGAGGGAAGAGUGGAGAUAUAGCACGAGGAAAGCGCAUUCAGAGUUUCAAAAGCCCGUGCUUACCAAAUAUCACCUUUUCUUUUGUUCUAAGAAGUUGAUUGAUCAUGUUCACUUAUCUAUACAUCAUACAUUGAGCAUUUUCAGUAAUACUGAGUAAAUUAUUGAUCUGUGAUUUUUUAUAUUUCUUUUGCCCUGCGCCUUUUCUUGCUAUGCGAUAUGGCCCCCUUUUUCCAGUAGUGUACGUACUUUUAUAGGGUUGCACAUUGGCCUUUUUAAGUUUGUCCAAAUGAACAUAUAAAGCCUCAAAGAAAUUUUCGGUGACUCUGUUCCCCUCAAGUUUGUUUUUUCUACAUCCCUGCCCUGUACGGGAUGCAGUACUAUAACUCCAACAUUAUUGAUAUUUCAUGACUCAUGAGUGUCGUCAACAUCAGGAACGACAGCAUCCAUUAUGCUGUCAUUGAGCUGUUUAGAAUCCAUAAUUCUUCCGUUCUUUUCUUUUGCAAAUACGGCAUAGUUUUUUGGUGUCACAAAUUGGAGUCUGCUUGAUGGACAUAUGUGGCAUAUGUUUCUAAAGCUCAUAUCAUGAUAUGCCAGAUAUUCCCAGGUUAACACCCAAGUGUUGAUGCUGCAUAAUUACUGAGAUAUUAUCUUGUUAAUACUUGCACAUGUCAAAUGUUACUUGACCCUUGUGCAUGUUCUUGGGUAUCACGACUUUUUAUCAUAUUAUUACACUUGAGUAUUAGAAAUCUAUAAAUGGAUAUAUCCUCCAAACAUAUUUGAAGGCUUUUUACAUCUCUUGCCCUUCACCAGGACCAUAUUUACGUUACACUGCCACUGAUACCACGCGUCCACUUCCUGUAAGCUUUCCUCACGUGCUCCUGUCUUCUAUUUUUUUAAACUGUUGCAAAUUGUCGCGCUGUCUAUUCUAAUUUGAGGCUCUGUCUAUGUAAUAUGUAUAUACUACUCCCUCUGUUUCAAAUUACAUGUCCACUUUAAAAAAAUCACAUAGUUUAAGAAAAGUUGAUUUUGGCAAAAAAGAGGUGUAAUAAGUCAUUAAUUGAACCUAAUGUGUGGUGUAUGGUUGAUCUUGGAAAUAUAAAUUUGAAAUAUGUGGAGGAGAGUUGAUUUUGGAAAUAUAACUUUACAUUGAAAGUUGAAGUGGACAAGUAUUUUGAAACAAUUUUUUUUUUCUAAAGUGGACAUGUAUUUUGAAACGGAGGGAGUAUAUCUAUCUGAAGAAAUUUUUAGACCAUCUUAUCUAAUAUUGUAUAAUAUGGAAUCUUUGUACUACACCCUCUGUUCUCAAAUAAAUGACGUUUAACUUUUUGGGAUACAAUUUUAAGAGCAUUGAUCAUAUAUCUAAACUAAUUAUUUUUAAAAUAAAAAUAUAAAACUUAUACUUUAAUUCAUAAAAAGAAAAUUUGAAAAUAAUAAUUUUAGCUGAUACAAAUAGUCAAGCGUCAUUUUUUUGAAAACAGAAGGAGUAACAGUUAUACACGUUACCGGGGUUUGAUAACCCUAAUUAAUGUAUUCUUUGUUCCGUUUCAUAAUUUGGCCCGGGAGCUGUUCGUGCUGAUGCGCAUGACCGUCAUAACUUCAUCCCUGUGUGUUGGUGAUUAGUUUUGUUUUCUUUACACUCCAGCAAUAUUCAUAUUUCUAACAGAAGUUGUAUAUUAUGUGUUUAUCCUGAUUUUAUUUUUAUAUUUUGAUCUUUAUCUGUCUUGCUUAUGCCUUAUGGUAUUCUUUGACCAGAAUUAUUUUUUUUUUAUCCAUGUUACAUAUCCUCUUGAUGUGGUUUGAACUUGUCUUCCUUUUGACCUUAUGAUUAUUACAUCAUAGUCUCUAAGAAUGUUUUAUAAUUAACCAUUUCGCAAUGAAUUCUUAAAUUUCUUUUAGGUUCUUCAAAGAAUGGGACUCAUGGUAAGAAUUAUGGAUUAGCUGCUGGAUGUUCUCACUGUUGGGAUUAAAGACCGUCGUUCUCCACUUGCCAAUAUUACAAACUUGGUGCAAAGUACUGAUAAGGGCCUAUCAAGUUCUUUAAGAAAGAAGCAAAGUUGUUCGACUCCCUUACAGCCAUUGUUAAACAGAAGCAACACACCUUAUGCUCUGAAAUUUAAGUCUUGAAACACCAUCGAGCCAAGUGCUUUUUACGGAUAAAGAUCAUGGGCCUGACAGACAUGAGAAAAGAACAUUGGAAGAAAUUGGUGUGUUCUGACAGUUUACUUUCAGAGUAAUCAAUUGCUUGUUAAAAUUUCUUUCAUAUAUUUUUGUUUGAAUGUUCACCCUUCGGAAAAGUGACUAGAUAAUGUAUAAGGUAUGUUUUUUCAUAUUUAAUCUUAGAUUCGACCCAAUCCAUGUAUUGGUUAACCUUUAAUUUUGAAUGACGUUAAUGUGAGUUGAUCAGUGUCGGCCCUGGUCCA